GAUCCUGGCUCAGAUUGAACGCUGGCGGCGGGCUUAACACAUGCAAGUCGAACGGUAACAUAAAGAAGCUUGCUUCUUUGAUGACGAGUGGCGGACGGGUGAGUAAUGCUUGGGAAUCUAGCUUAUGGAGGGGGAUAACUACGGGAAACUGUAGCUAAUACCGCGUAGAAUCGAGAGAUGAAAGUGUGGGACCUUCGGGCCACAUGCCAUAGGAUGAGCCCAAGUGGGAUUAGGUAGUUGGUGAGG
rnacentral:rRNA from 1 species